ACUUUCAAAGGAUAGUAGUCUUCCACUAGUCUUAGGCGCUAAAAACUCUUGGUGCAACCCAAGUGAAAGUA
rnacentral:tRNA from 1 species